CUCUCGGAGUGACGGGUACACUGUGGGGACCGCCGCUGCUAAAGCGGAGGAAGGAAUGGGCAACGGUAGGUCAGUAUGCCCCGAAUAUCCCGGGCUACACGCGAGCUACAAUGGUUGGUACAAUGGGUAUCUACCCCGAAAGGGGACGGGAAUCUCCUAAAACCAAUCUUAGUUCGGAUUGAGGGCUGCAACUCGCCCUCAUGAAGCUGGAAUCCGUAGUAAUCGCGUUUCAACAGAACGCGGUCGAAUUACCCGUCCCUGCUCCUU
rnacentral:rRNA from 1 species